GCUUCAGCUGUGGAGGAAUGCAGUGAGAGUGGCUGUCUAGCUCUCUCUUUACUGGAGCUGCUGGCUCUCAAUGUGAUGUUCGUAUUUCAUCUCCAGUGUUCUGGUGCUCGUUGAGCCUGUUGCAGCUGGGUCUGGUAUCCCAGAAAUUAAAAGUUACCUGAACGGAGUAAAGAUUCCAGGCAUUGUGCGGCUGCGGACCUUCAUAUGUAAGGUCACAGGAGUCCUGUUCGCUGUUGCUGGAGGAUUGUUUGUGGGUAAAGAGGGACCAAUGGAUUCACAGUGGAGCGAUUGUAGGAGCAGGGCCGUCCUCACGUAUUCAACCCGAACCGAGUAAUAAACAAAGUACUGAUCUGACUAAUCUUUAACUGUUCUGCUGUUUAAAAUGGUUGAGGUUGACAGUACUGCCGAUGGUUAAUGAUUAUGUGUUCUGAAUGUAACCAGGUGAUUCAUUUUUAUGCAUCAUCUUUUUUUUUUUUUGUCACAGUCAUACUAAAGGUCUAGUGAACACAUGCUUGUUUCUCUGAUUAGUUUCAGAGCAUCACCUUCAAGAAGAUCCGCUUUCACUUUCCCUAUUUCCGCAGU